UCUGAUUCAGCGGCGGACGGGUGAGUAAUGCCUAGGAAUCUGCCUGGUAGUGGGGGACAACGUUUCGAAAGGAACGCUAAUACCGCAUACGUCCUACGGGAGAAAGCAGGGGACCUUCGGGCCUUGCGCUAUCAGAUGAGCCUAGGUCGGAUUAGCUAGUUGGUGAGGUAAUGGCUCACCAAGGCGACGAUCCGUAACUGGUCUGAGAGGAUGAUCAGUCACACUGGAACUGAGACACGGUCCAGACUCCUACGGGAGGCAGCAGUGGGGAAUAUUGGACAAUGGGCGAAAGCCUGAUCCAGCCAUGCCGCGUGUGUGAAGAAGGUCUUCGGAUUGUAAAGCACUUUAAGUUGGGAGGAAGGGCAUUAACCUAAUACGUUAGUGUUUUGACGUUACCGACAGAAUAAGCACCGGCUAACUCUGUGCCAGCAGCCGCGGUAAUACAGAGGGUGCAAGCGUUAAUCGGAAUUACUGGGCGUAAAGCGCGCGUAGGUGGUUUGUUAAGUUGGAUGUGAAAGCCCCGGGCUCAACCUGGGAACUGCAUUCAAAACUGACAAGCUAGAGUAUGGUAGAGGGUGGUGGAAUUUCCUGUGUAGCGGUGAAAUGCGUAGAUAUAGGAAGGAACACCAGUGGCGAAGGCGACCACCUGGACUGAUACUGACACUGAGGUGCGAAAGC
rnacentral:rRNA from 1 species